GUGAGCAGGUUCGGUGCCGCGGGCUGGGAUUAGAAUUACUUGUUAUUGGUAAAUAGCCAUUAUGGAGACUAAGGACCAGAAGAAACAAAGAAAGAAAAAUAGUGGACCCAAAGCUGCAAAGAAAAAGAAGCGGCAUCUGCAGGAUCUCCAGCUAAGAGACGAAGAAGAUGCCUGGAAGAGAAAUCCCAAAGCUUUUGCAUUUCAGUCUGCUGUGUGGAUGGCUCGAUCCUUUCACAGGACUCAGGAUUUGAAGACAAAAAAGCAUCAUAUUCCAGUGGUUUAUCGAACUCCACUAGAGCCCCCACCAAUAGUGGUAGUGGUGAUGGGGCCUCCAAAGUUGGAAAGAGCACUUUGAUACAAUGCCUCAUUCGGAACUUCACCCGGCAGAAGUUGACCGAGAUCAGAGGCCCUGUGAUGAUCGUGUCAGGUAAAAAGUGCAGACUCACUGUUAUUGAAUGUGGGUGUGACAUUAACAUGAUCUAUCUGGCUAAAGUAGCAGAUCUGGUACUGAUGCUUAUAGAUGCCAGCUUUGGGUUUGAAAUGGAAACGUUUGAGUUUCUAAACAUCUGUCAAGUACAUGGCUUUCCUAAAAUUAUGGGAGUUCUCACCCACCUCGACUUCUUCAAACACAAUAAGCAACUGAAGAAGACAAAGAAGCGAUUAAAACACAGGUUCUGGACAGAAGUUUACCUGGUUGCCAAGCUGUUCUGCCUUUCUGGAAUGGUGCAUGGAGAAUAUCAAAACCAAGAAAUGCACAAUCUGGGCCAUUUUAUUACAGUUAUGAAGUUUAGGCCUCUCACAUGGCAGACUUCUCAUCCUUAUAUCCUGGCAGACAGGGUGGAAGAUUUGACAAACCCAGAGGAUAUCCAAACAAACAUCAAAUGUGACCAGCAGAUGUUACUUUACGGUUAUUUAAGAGGAGCGCACUUGAAAAAUAAAAGCCAAAUUCACAUGCCAGGACGAGGUGGGGCCCACCCAUGAGCUGGUCCAGAGUCUCAUCUCCACCCACUCCACCAUUGAUGCCAAGAUGGCUUCAAGUCGAGUGAUGUUGUUUUCUGAUUCCAAGCCACUUGGGUCAGAGGCUAUAGAUAAUCAAGGGGACGAGUUCUCACUAUGUUGCCCAGGCUGGCCUCGAACUCCUGGGCUCAAGCAAUCCUCCUGCGUUGGCCUCCCAAAGUCCUGGGAUUACAGGUGUAAGCCACUACGGCUGGCCUAUUAUUGCUGUAUUCUAACUUAUUCAUCUCCUAUGUGUCAGAGAUGGCUUUGGAUUCCCCGUUCUGUGUGCUGCUGUCUGGCUCCUGAACCCAGCUGUAGAGGUGUGUCAAUCCCAACUGGUGAAGUACUGAGAGGAAGCUACACAAAAGGCAGCAAAGUAUUAGUAAGUGUGAGUGGUGUCAUUGAGCAAACACGAAGUCGGGCUCAUCCAAGGAUGAGAUUUUGCCAGAGAAAGGACGAGCAGCAAGUCAGGGAGCUUAAGUGUGACCUUGGAGAUACCUCAUCAUAUUACACAAAGAGAUGCAGAUAGAUCUUUGAGCAAACCUGAUGAACAGUUACACUCAUUUGCGGUUUCCACUGUGCACAUUACGAAGAAAAGAAAUGGAGGUGGGAGUUUAAAUAACUAUUCCUCCUCCAUUCCAUCGACUCCCAGCACCAGCCAGGAGGACCUUCAGUUCAGUGUUCCUCCCACUGCCAACACACCCACGCCCGUUUGCAAGCGGUCCAUGCGCUGGUCCAACCUGUUUACAUCUGAGAAAGGGAGUGACCCAGACAAAGAGAGGAAAGCCCCGGAGAAUCACGCUGACACCAUCGGGAGCGGCAGAGCCAUCCCCAUUAAACAGGGCAUGCUCUUAAAGCGAAGUGGGAAAUGGCUGAAGACAUGGAAAAAGAAAUAUGUCACCCUGUGUUCCAAUGGCGUGCUCACCUAUUAUUCAAGCUUAGGUGAUUAUAUGAAGAAUAUUCAUAAAAAAGAGAUUGACCUUCGGACAUCUACCAUCAAAGUCCCAGGAAAGUGGCCAUCCCUAGCCACAUCGGCCUGCGCACCCAUCUCCAGCUCUAAAAGCAAUGGCCUAUCCAAGGACAUGGACACCGGGCUGGGUGACUCCAUAUGCUUCAGCCCCAGUAUCUCCAGCACCACCAGCCCCAAGCUCAACCCGCCCCCCUCUCCUCAUGCCAAUAAAAAGAAACACCUAAAGAAGAAAAGCACCAACAACUUUAUGAUUGUGUCUGCCACUGGCCAAACGUGGCACUUUGAAGCCACGACGUAUGAGGAGCGGGAUGCAUGGGUCCAAGCCAUCCAGAGCCAGAUCCUGGCCAGCCUGCAGUCAUGCGAGAGCAGUAAAAGCAACUCCCAGCUGACCAGCCAGAGUGAGGCCAUGGCCCUGCAGUCAAUCCAAAACAUGCAUGGGAACUCCCACUGUGUGGACUGUGAGACCCAGAAUCCUAAGUGGGCCAGUUUGAACUUGGGAGUCCUCAUGUGUAUUGAAUGCUCAGGAAUCCACCGCAGUCUUGGCACCUGCCUUUCCCGUGUGCGAUCUCUGGAGCUGGAUGACUGGCCAGUUGAGCUCAGGAAGGUUAUGUCAUCUAUUGGCAAUGACCUAGCCAACAGCAUCUGGGAAGGGAGCAGCCAGGGGCGGACAAAACCCUCAGUAAAGUCCACGAGGGAAGAGAAGGAACGGUGGAUCCGUUCCAAAUAUGAGGAGAAGCUCUUUCUGGCCCCACUACCCUGCACUGAUCUGUCCCUGGGCCAGCACCUGCUGCGGGCCACCGCUGAUGAGGACCUGCAGACAGCCAUCCUGCUGCUGGCACAUGGCUCCCGUGAGGAGGUGAACGAGACCUGUGGGGAGGGAGAUGGCUGCACGGCGCUCCAUCUGGCCUGCCGCAAGGGGAAUGUGGUCCUGGCGCAGCUCCUGAUUUGGUACGGGGUGGACGUCAUGGCCCGAGAUGCCCACGGGAACACAGCGCUGACCUACGCCCGGCAGGCCUCCAGCCAGGAGUGCAUCAACGUGCUUCUGCAGUACGGCUGCCCCGACGAGUGCGUGUAGUAUCUGUUUUAUUUGACUGCAGUCUCCUUGGUGCAAAAACAAAAUGGGAAAAAUAAGGAUAACUCAGAAUUUCAAAAGGAAAUCACAAAUUCAGCUAGUAAUAGCAUUUUCAGUACUUUUCGUAAACUAAGUAAAUACACAAAAUGUUGAUUUUUCUGACCAUAAGACAUAUUUUAUGUCCUUUUGCCAAGGUGGAUGUGUUAGUCUCAGGCCCUCCUGGCCACAUUGCCCAAGUCACACAGGCUUCUGUAUUAUGUAUUUAGAUAAAAUGUGUGAAAAUAUAUUUGAAAAAAAGUUCAUAAA
rnacentral:sRNA from 1 species